rnacentral:rRNA from 1 species
CCCAGACUCCUACGGGAGGCAGCAGUGGGGAAUAUUGCACAAUGGGGGAAACCCUGAUGCAGCAACGCCGCGUGAGUGAAGAAGUAUUUCGGUAUGUAAAGCUCUAUCAGCAGGGAAGAAAAUGACGGUACCUGAGUAAGAAGCCCCGGCUAACUACGUGCCAGCAGCCGCGGUAAUACGUAGGGGGCAAGCGUUAUCCGGAUUUACUGGGUGUAAAGGGGGCGCAGACGGCAGUGCAAGUCUGGAGUGAAAGCCCGGGGCCCAACCCCGGGACUGCUCUGGGAACUGUGCGGCUGGAGUGCGGGAGGGGCAGGCGGAAUUCCUGGUGUAGCGGUGAAAUGCGUAGAUAUCAGGAGGAACACCGGCGGCGAAGGCGGCCUGCUGGACCGCGACUGACGUUGAGGCUCGAAAGCGUGGGGAGCGAACAGGAUUAGAUACCCGAGUA